rnacentral:rRNA from 1 species
UGGUAGGGGCGGAGCUAACACAUGCAGUCGAGCGGAUGAAGAGAGCUUGCUCUCUGAUUCAGCGGCGGACGGGUGAGUAAUGCCUAGGAAUCUGCCUAUUAGUGGGGGACAACGUUUCGAAAGGAACGCUAAUACCGCAUACGUCCUACGGGAGAAAGCAGGGGACCUUCGGGCCUUGCGCUAAUAGAUGAGCCUAGGUCGGAUUAGCUAGUUGGUGAGGUAAUGGCUCACCUAGGCGACGAUCCGUAACUGGUCUGAGAGGAUGAUCAGUCACACUGGAACUGAGACACGGUCCAGACUCCUACGGGAGGCAGCAGUGGGGAAUAUUGGACAAUGGGCGAAAGCCUGAUCCAGCCAUGCCGCGUGUGUGAAGAAGGUCUUCGGAUUGUAAAGCACUUUAAGUUGGGAGGAAGGGCAUUAACCUAAUACGUUAGUGUUUUGACGUUACCGACAGAAUAAGCACCGGCUAACUUCGUGCCAGCAGCCGCGGUAAUACGAAGGGUGCAAGCGUUAAUCGGAAUUACUGGGCGUAAAGCGCGCGUAGGUGGUUUGUCAAGUUGGAUGUGAAAGCCCCGGGCUCAACCUGGGAACUGCAUCCAAAACUGGCAAGCUAGAGUAUGGCAGAGGGUGGUGGAAUUUCCUGUGUAGCGGUGAAAUGCGUAGAUAUAGGAAGGAACACCAGUGGCGAAGGCGACCACCUGGGCUAAUACUGACACUGAGGUGCGAAAGCGUGGGGAGCAAACAGGAUUAGAUACCCUGGUAGUCCACGCCGUAAACGAUGUCGACUAGCCGUUGGGAUCCUUGAGAUCUUAGUGGCGCAGCUAACGCAUUAAGUCGACCGCCUGGGGAGUACGGCCGCAAGGUUAAAACUCAAAUGAAUUGACGGGGGCCCGCACAAGCGGUGGAGCAUGUGGUUUAUUCGAAGCACGCGAGACUUACAGGCUUGACAUGCAGAGACUUUCCAGGAGAUGGAUUGGUGCCUUCGGGACUCUGAAACAGGGGCUGCAUGGCUGUC